UACAGAGGUGGCAAGCGUUUGUUCGGAAUUACUGGGCGUAAAGCGCGUGUAGGCGGCUCUUCAAGUCAGGCGUGAAAGCCCCGGGCUCAACUCGGGAACUGCGCUUGAUACUGUCGAGCUAGAGUGUGGAAGGGGCGAUUGGAAUUCCGUGUGUAGCGGUGAAAUGCGUAGAUAUACGGAGGAACACCAGAGGCGAAGGCGGAUCGCUGGGCCAACACUGACGCUGAGACGCGAAAGCUAGGGUAGCAAACAGG
rnacentral:rRNA from 1 species